UACCAGCACCCCGAGUGGUCGGGACGUUUAUUGGGCCUAAAGCAUCCGUAGCCGGUUCUACAAGUCUUCCGUUAAAUCCACCUGCUCAACAGAUGGGCUGCGGAAGAUACUAUGGAGCUAGGAGGCGGGAGAGGCAAGCGGUACUCGAUGGGUAGGGGUAAAAUCCGUUGAUCCAUUGAAGACCACCAGUGGCGAAGGCGGCUUGCCAGAACGCGCUCGACGGUGAGGGAUGAAAGCUGGGGGAGCAAACCAG
rnacentral:rRNA from 1 species